AAAAAUGUCUAAAGAACCAAAACAGAUUCAAUGCAGUGACGGCAGAAAGUGUAUGGGCAUGAAGAUUCAAAGAAAAAGAUGCGGCCGUUGAAAGAUUUAUAUGCUCCUUUGCUCCAGGAGAAAUCUCUUGAGACCUCACUCAGAGUGCACAUCCUUACCACAGUACAAGGCUAAUGAGCUUGGAUCGAUGGUGUUCUCAGCCCAGUGGACUGAAAACAAUAGAUUGAAGAUUUGUGGCAACCCUGUGACUACCAACUCUAUUGAAACCAUUUCUCCAAUAGCAUGAGCUCACUUCAGGUCUUUGUAUCACAUUUUCAUAAUUCUCACAAUAUUUCAAAUUUAUUAUUAUUAUUAUA
rnacentral:lncRNA from 10 species